CGAUUUGCUGAGCGCAGUGGUAGCGCGUCCCGCUUUGCAAGCGGAAGGCCCCGGGUUCAAUCCCCGGUGUGUCCA